rnacentral:misc_RNA from 1 species
GAAUUAUAGGGCGUCUACUUGUAGAGCCUGACCUCCACUUCUAACACUGUGCACUUGAUGGAGAGGUAAUUAGAUUGAGCCUUCGGGCUUAUGAAGAGAACCUUUCGGCUUCAUUUUAAACAUUAGUCAAAGUAUGUAAAGAAAUUUAAAACAAAAAAAAACUUUCAACAACGGAUCUCUUGGCUCU